CUGCUGAAGAAAUCUUCAGACACUGUGAAGGAACCAUCGUCCAGUACGAGCAGGAGCUCUGUCGUCAGCGCAGACUGCUGGAUAUCACAUUGAAGCCAGAACUCAAGCUGGACUCUAUAGUCCUCCCUCAGCAUUAUGUGAGUGAAAAGGAGGAUCUCAGCUACCAUCAGAAAAACUCCAGAGUGACAAAGAAAGAACCAGGACCUCCACAGAUAAAAGUGGAAAAAGAGGAACCAGAACUUCCACAGACGGAAGAAGAAUGGGAGGAACCAGAACCUUCACAGAUGAAGGAGGAGCAAGAAGAACUCUGUAUCAGUCAAGAUGAAGAUUAUCUUCAAUUUAAGCAAGAGACUAAUACAUUUAUGGAUACGUUCACCUAUGAGGAUAAUGAGCACAAUGUUUUAGAUCUAAAAAAUCAGCAGGGCUUUAAUGGAAGGGGUGUUCUAGCUGAAGAUGGAAACCAGCAUGUCCAAAAUGUGGACGCAGUAAGUCAGAGUGACUCUGAUGUUGGCAAAAUAUCCAGUAUCUCAACUUUGAUUAAGAAAAGCAUCCAAUCCUUUAAAGAAAAGAGACUUUCCUUUAUGAACUCUUGUAAAAGCUCAAGAACUGUUAGUAAUAUGUAUGUCUACAAGAGAACGGAGUCUGAUGAAAGAUCUUGCGUAUGUAAAGAAUGUGGUAAAAGUUUCAAAUAUUUGUCUAAGUUAAGACUUCACAUGAGAGUUCACACGGGAGAGAAGCCUUUUUUCUGUAAAUUGUGCGAUACACGUUUUGGUCAAACAUCGAGUCUCAAAAGACACAUGAUGAUUCACACAGGAGAAAAGCCCUUUUCGUGUAACGAAUGUGCUAAAAGUUUUAGGCGAUUAUAUCAUCUCAGAGAACACAUGAGAACACACACAGAAAAGACGUAUCUCAAUGCACAUGUAAAAAAUCAUACAGGAGAAGCUUUUUUCUUUUAAAAGAAAGUGAUAUAAGUUUUGUCAUGCAUCUUUUUCAAAAACAACGGAUGCAGGAGAAAAGCUGUUUACUGUCAAAAACAAAGUAUUUAUUGAAAAUUCAGUAAAACUCUGCAGAUGUUUUGUGCAGUAAAAGAAAACAAUGAUUUAUAUAUAUAUAUAUUAUGGUAAUUUACACAUAUUAUACAGAUAAUUUCUGUGGUUCAACCCUAAUCUCUGCCAAAUAACCUCAAAUCCUUCUAAAAAAAAUUCUUAGCUUUUGAAAAAAGUAAAUUCUAAAUCCUUUACUUUGCUGUGUCGAGAUGCUGAUUUUAUCUUCCAGCAGGACGUGGAAUCUUCCCACACUGCUAAAGGUACACGAAGCUGUUCCAAUGACCAUGAUGUCAUUGUGUUUGACCAGAUAGUAACGUUCCCUGAUCUGAAACCAGACCCAACAAUUUCAAUGACUUGAAGUCCACUAUUAGAGCAAACUGAGCUUUUAUUACACAUAACCACAUGCCACGACCCAUUGAUGCAUUUAUUUAAUUAGUGAGUAAUAAAUGCAUGGGAAAUGACAGUUUUCUGGUGUCUGACAAAUGUGCUUCAUUGUUCUUGUAUAUUCUAAUUUUCUAAAAUACAAAUGUUCAAGUUUUCAUCAAUUGUAUGUGACAAUCAUUAAACGCUUAAACAACAAAGCAUUGAUACAUUUCUAUCUCUGUGUAAGGAUUCUAUACAUAUGAUUUCAAUUUUUUCAUUGAGUGAUCAAAUAUGUUGUUAAUCAUAACAGUUAAAUAUUUAUCUCUCUUAUCACUUUAAAAUUACUAUUACUCUUUGUACUGGCAUUUUUAAGCAAUUUUGUUUUUUGAGAAUUUUCUAAAUAAUUUAAAAGCAAUCUUCAACUUUUAUUUGUUGAUUUUUAUUAGUAGAUCUCUUAUUUAUUUUUGUUUAUAGUUGAUCCUUGUGGUUGUAGCGUAUGCUGAGACAAUAUGUCAUCAAAGUCUGUUUCCACGACAACACUAGAAUUUCAUUCUUAUAGUUUUUGUGAUCGGUGAACAUGUAUUUAUUUAUUUUAAAGUAGUGACUACAAUUUGCGGGAUCAUGUUUGCAAAUAAUGACUUUACCCCAAUAUGUUGUAAAGAAGAGAUGAAUAAAGAAGCAGCGAGGUGUUUCUGUCUCAUUUA